rnacentral:lncRNA from 7 species
AACAUUUGCAUUCCUCCUGCGGUGUUACAAAGCCUGAUCCCGUAUUAAACAGCAGAAAAACCUGAAGCCGACUUCCAUGACCCACCCAGACUAGAACGGAGCCCCUCCCCCAUGCAGUGCAUAAGAUGCUACACAAAAUACACCCCAGGUGCUGCUGCUGCUCCGUUUGUCACCGUUCCAUUUCAGUAUUCCCAGAUGAUUUUCACCCUGGGGAAAAGCCAGAGUCCCCCACCCCAGGCAGGCGCAGCGGGAGCAGCCAUCCUCCCCCAGCAAGAGGGCUGCACGCCUCAGGAAACUCAUCCCAAAGCCUCAGCAGACUGCACAGCCCUCCCAGUUAGCAGCAAGGGACCCAAAGUCACGAGAACUGUGCAGGACGGUCUCUCUGGAGGCUCCUGUGGCUUUGCCUGAAAUACACCCAACGUCACUGCAGGAUGUACCCACACACCUUGCAGGCUGCUGAAUCGCAUCUGCUACAGAAAGCCCCGGCUCCUGAGCCUGGCUCCAGCCCUGCACGCUGCUGAAGGCACUGGGGCUGUGCUGAGGUCUGAGCUGGGUCAGGACCAGGACCGGGGGAGCUGAGGGUCUUCACACCGGGCAGGGAUUUUCUACCUGCACCCUCAGGCAUUCGCACCGUUGGCGUCAUCUGCCUCCCAAACCACAGUUCUGCACAGGAAGGGAACGAGCCGCCCGCAAGCACCGGAUGCGCGCCGUACUCACGUUCAUCUUCCAGAGCCGCCCUCCUCUUUCAAGCCAUUUUGUGAGAAAGCCCCGUCGCUCACCGCCGCCUACGGCAUCGCUGCCUGCGUGCCCUGCAAGGACCCGGGCUCCAGAGCAGCCCUUAAUCCAUCCAGCACCAAAGCUCCGGGCUCAGCCCUGCAGCUGCGGGAUGCCCGGUGCCACCAAGGCGCUCCCCUCGGCUCCAGCCCGCGACGGACGGAGGUCCCCAGGCAGUGCGGAGCUCUCCAAAGCCGUCCCUUUUACGUUCUCCGACCUUGCGAGGAAAAUCCUGUCUCGUUUGAAUUAUUCAUCAUACUUUCUGUUCUGCCAGCUCCGGCAUACGUUCUGAAUCAUUAAUAUGUCAUGACUUC